rnacentral:lncRNA from 1 species
AUUUUUGGAAUAUUUCAAAAAAAUUGAAGUGUUUUUUUAAAAAAAACACCUGUCAAGUGAUUCUCUAAAAAUCACUUCAAGUGUUUUUCCAGAUUUUCAAAAGUGUUUUUUAAAAUUUGCCAAACACUUUAUUUUCAUCCCAAAAACACUUAAAAGUGUUUUUAAGGGUAGAAACACUUUUAAAAAUCACUGCCAAACGGGCUCU